ACUAAAAUCCGGGCAGCAACACCGCAAAGUCACUACUCAUCCAUCUUCUCUAUUCUCAUUCAAUUCCAAUUCAAUCUCCUUUUCAUUAACCAUCAUUCAAUUUCAUAAUUAAUUUCAACUUCCAAAUUUAUGACUCACGAACAUCACCAGUCUCCAAUAUCACCUUCAAUUGGAAUUGGAAUAUCUUGAUUUUGCAUUCCAUUCAAAUAAACCCCUAAAAAACCUUCAAUUGACCUCGAAAUAGCAUCAAUCUCCAAAAUUCACCUUCAAUUCCAUCCCAUCAUCUUCUCCCCAUCUUUAAUAACCUUCACUUACUAAGUAAUUUCCCCCAAAACAUUAAUAAUUUGUUUGUUACUCUUUGUUCGCGUCAUUGAUAUUCUAUCUCUUAAUCCAAAUCCUUCCUCUAUUUAACAUAGUGAAUUCGACUAGAAUAAUUCUAUUAUCGGGAGCCAAAGACAUGUUCCUCUUCUCUAAUGAAUGUUGGGAGUGAGAAUGUUCAACGUCUGAUAUUGUUUUUGGUACAAUUGGUCCAACCUUGAGCUGUGGGAGGCAAUUGGUAUUGGAAAGGCUGCAGAAACAGCUGGAGUCAAAACUAGUGGUACUGGAUCUAAGAUUGUUCAUAUCAAUGAGGUUGGAAAGUCAACAGGGGAUAAGAAGAUUACUUCUGUUGAUGUUGCAUUGUUGCAACCCUGAGAAGUAAUUUCGUAGUUUUUUUUCUUCUUCCUCUUUAGGUUUGAAUGUCUGCUAUGCGCAAAGAGUUAGGUCAUGAGAAGUUAGGUUUUCUUUAAUUUUGGUGGUUUUGGUAUGUAGCAGCUAUUUAUUAUUGCUGGGUUUCAUGGCACUACUGCUGCUUGUACAUAAUUUUUGAGGCUUUUGCCUAAGUAAAUAAAGUUUCUUCUUUGUUGUC